rnacentral:rRNA from 1 species
GAUGAACGCUAGCGGCAGGCUUAAUACAUGCAAGUCGAGGGGCAGCAUGAGUAGCAAUACUUGAUGGCGACCGGCAAACGGGUGCGGAACACGUACGCAACCUUCCUUUAAGUGGAGAAUAGCCCGGGGAAACCCGGAUUAAUACUCCGUAACAUUAUGAUGUGGCAUCACUUUAUAAUUAUAGAUUUAUCGCUUAAAGAUGGGCGUGCGCCUGAUUAGGUAGUUGGCGGGGUAACGGCCCACCAAGCCUUCGAUCAGUAACUGGUAUGAGAGCACGACCAGUCACACGGGCACUGAGACACGGGCCCGACUCCUACGGGAGGCAGCAGUAAGGAAUAUUGGUCAAUGGACGCAAGUCUGAACCAGCCAUGCCGCGUGGAGGAUGAAGGUCCUCUGGAUUGUAAACUUCUUUUAUUUGGGACGAAAAAAGAUCAUUCCUGAUCACUUGACGGUACCAGAUGAAUAAGCACCGGCUAACUCCGUGCCAGCCGCCGCAGUAACAC